GAAUGCCUCGCUCGGAUUGGCCUACUUCUUGGAUCGGACUGGACGGUGGCCAGAGGAGGACAAGAGACUUCUAUACGGUCUGGAGGGACGAUUUGGGUCACAUCUGAGACGGCGUUGCGCAUCAACAAGCGUCCAGGCUCCAGGGACAUGGCGGCGGCCUGUGUGAUGUCGGUGCUGCUGAUAGGCGACUGAGAGGAACCGGUGGCAGCUAGUCCAGAGCCUGCUGCUGCUGCUGCCGCCCUGGCAACGAUCCAAAAGAUACUUCUAGCACUUGGAUACUACCUGGGAGCAACUUGUCAUGCUUGCAUUGUAUGGAACAAGUGUUCAAAAUAGAAUGCAAAAACUGUAAGCUGAUGGAAGAGGCAGCACAUGACAUCCCUGGUACUCCAGGGAGAACAUUUGAUAUAGGAGAUACCUUUGUUGUGUCCCUUUCUGCCUUAGUGCCAAUCAAUAUGCUGAAGUCCUCAAAAAGUUCCUGAGAGAUCCAUUUCAAGUUCUAGUGAAGAAAGAACUGAUCUUUGAAAGGCGCUGACAGAAAGAAAGGGGAACUCCUUGAUAAGAAUUGGAAGCGGGAGUCAGUUUGGGAGGAAAGCUGUGGCCAUAAACAUUGAAGAAGACAAGAAGAUUCUUUGUGACACUAAGACUUUCUACCACACUACGGUAGAGGAAAUGGCAAAGACUGUGGCUGACCUAAUUUAAUUCCUGGAAUGAAAUGAUUAUGAAUGUAGUGCUUGCUGUUGCUGAACGGGCAAUCACAUUGUGCAUUGUGUUUCUUUUGGGGGUAAUAUGUGAAGCUUGUCUCAGUGCUCACAACAGAUUAAAAAUACAGAUUUUGAUAGCAAAGCAACUUCAGACAUGAUUUCAUGAUAUCAUUGGUUUUAUCCUCUUAUUUCCUAGUUCUCUACACAUGGUUUUAUUGAGUAUUUGCCAUCAUUUAAUAAUAUGGACUGAAAGAUAUAAAAGCAGCUAUUUAUAAAGUUUGUCUGCCUUUAUUGUAUUAGUCACUAACUGAAUAGAGCUAACUUUAAAAUGAUUUUUUAAGAAAAUACUUAAAUUUAUUUUGUUUGGUAUCAUUUUUUUCAGUAAGGCAUUUUAUUAGCAGUUAGUUGAAUGUUUAUUGAAUGUUCAAUAAAUUACAGUGAAGUGUUUUU